GUAAUGCAUGAAGCUUACCGUUACUAAUAGCUCGAGCGACUUCUUCGUUCCCAUU
rnacentral:rRNA from 1 species